GACGAACGCUGGCGGCGUGCUUAACACAUGCAAGUCGAACGGAAAGGCCCUGCUUUCGUGCGGUGCUCGAGUGGCGAACGGGUGAGUAACACGUGAGUAACCUGCCCUUGACUUUGGGAUAACUUCAGGAAACUGGGGCUACUACAGUAUAGGAUAUCAUGCUGCAUGGUGGGGGUUGGAAAGUUGCGGCUGUUGGGGAUGGACGGGCGGCUUAUCAGCUAGUUAGUGGGGUAGUGGCUGACCAAGGCUUUGACGGGUAGCCAGCAUGGGAGGGUGGCCGGCCACAUGGGGACUGCGGUAGGGCCCAGUCUCCUACGUGAGACAGCAGUGGGGAAUAUGGCACAACGGGCGGAAGCCUGAUGCAGCAACGUCGCGUGCGGGAUGACGGCCUUCGGGUUGAGAACCGCUUUCGCCUGUUACGAAGCGUGAGUGACGGUACUGGGUAAAGAAGCACCGGCUAACUACGUG
rnacentral:rRNA from 1 species